CUCUCUCUAAGAAAUUUCAGCUAUAUAUACUGAUAUAGAGAGAGGAGGUUAGAGAUAUAUAUACAUAUAGAGACUGAGAGUUCUUUAGACAUAGCAAUGGAGGUCUUGAAGAAAUGGGUGUCUCUCUGUUCUUUGCUGCUUUUGCUGCUAUUCGUUGGCGUUGUCGCUGCUGUGAACAAAGAUGAAGCCUCGAAAUGGAGUGUGGUGGAAAAAGAGAAAAUGCAGAGCUCUAACAACUCAACAAUGGCGGCAAGGUUGGGAGAAAUUAAAGAGGAGGCUUUGAAUGAACAUG